AACUAUUUCGUCAGUCGAAGUGGACGUAUUAUUUUUUGUGAGCUGUAGGAUAGUAUUCCUGCUAUUCCUGGAACAUCUUUCGGCCCAGGGUACACUGAGGAUGUAAUAACCCCUUCUGGCGAUAGACGAAAAAAGUGGACUCUUUGUGCAUUUGACCCUUUAAACUAGACGUAUUCUUUGUCAGCAUCAAGCAAACGUCGCCAAAUACUUAAAAUAUUUACUUCAGUCGUAAUAAUUUCGUCGUCCGAAAUGAACACUUCAAUUUUUGUGACCUGUUGGAUCUCAUUCCUGCUGUCCCUGGGAUAUCUGUUGGCUCAACCCACUCGGUUGGACCAACCCAAUUGGUUGGACCAACCCGAUCCGUGGGCUCAACGACAUCCUUUUUAUCAACCCAAUCCUUUGGAUCAACCCAAUCCGUUGGCACAACCCAAUCGGUUAGCUCAACCCACCACGAAACCACAGGAUCUCAACCUUUCGAAACUAGACAUGACAAUUGAGAAACCCGUCGUUCAAUGCGCAACGUCAAAAUGCAAUCCCUUUUCAUAAAAUUUUAUAUAUUAUUAAAAGCAAAACCGUUAACGUUUUUAUUUUUAUGAAAUAAAAGUAGACUCUAUGUGACCCUGUAAA